rnacentral:rRNA from 1 species
AUUGAACGCCGGCGGCAUGCCUUACACAUGCAAGUCGAACGGUAACAGGUCUUCGGAUGCUGACGAGUGGCGAACGGGUGAGUAAUACAUCGGGACGUGCCUAGUAGUGGGGGAUAACUACUCGAAAGAGUGGCUAAUACCGCAUGAGAUCUACGGAUGAAAGCAGGGGAUCGCAAGACCUUGUGCUACUAGAGCGGCCGAUGGCAGAUUAGGUAGUUGGUGGGAUAAAAGCUUACCAAACCGACGAUCUGUAGCUGGUCUGAGAGGACGAUCAGCCACACUGGGACUGAGACACGGCCCAGACUCCUACGGGAGGCAGCAGUGGGGAAUUUUGGACAAUGGGCGCAAGCCUGAUCCAGCAAUGCCGCGUGCAGGAUGAAGGCCUUCGGGUUGUAAACUGCUUUUGUACGGAACGAAAAGCCCCGGGUUAAUACCCUGGGGUCAUGACGGUACCGUAAGAAUAAGCACCGGCUAACUACGUGCCAGCCGCCGCGGUAA